CGGUUAGAAUAGACUAAUGACGGUUAAUUAAAUCACACUUUCCAAUUCUGACGACACCUUUGUUAUGUGUGCGAUUUAAGUAUAUAACCAUUUAAAUAGUAUAAUUGAUCGUUUUCAACAGUUAUCAACAGAACAAUACACAAUCAAUAAUUAUUGAUUCAUUGUUGGGACAAUUCUAAGUUCGUUUCGUCUUUAUUUUUCAAUUAGCAUGGAUUCUUAGUUAGUAAUAACAGUAUUUUUCAUUAAAGUCGGAUGGUGAUUAAAGGAACAUAAAUAUCGAUUUGGAGAUUUAUUGUUAAUUUAAAUGUUAGACAGGUAAAUUCAGACCAGAUACAUAGUACCAAAACAACUGCAAGAAAAUACGCGUAUCUUUCAAAACGGAACUAAAAUUAUCCAAAUGUGACAUUUUAUUUCAAGGACUUUUUGUUAUCAAUUACAG
rnacentral:lncRNA from 1 species